CGGUGUCUGCGAUUACGCCAUUUACGUCCACCUCCAUUACGAAGACAGUGGCUUCCACGGCACAAACUUAGGAACAUUUUUAGAAAAGUCUAAGAACUUCCGGAAGACCAUCUUUUUGGCAACCCUUGCCUCGGAAAUGCUGGGCAGAAAUGACCGUAUCUUAUCUCCUGCUUUCGCAAAACACUUUAAAACGCUUCGGACCGUCUCCAAUAUACGGGGUUUCGGAAUAUUCCACGAGUACCACACUGGUCACGCUCUUCUGAGUCAACGUCACGAGUUGACCAACUUUCUGAACGCCUUACGCAGUCGUUUAAAGCGUAUUCGAGGCUCGACAGUGUUCUUGGGUGUCCGGCUACAGAGGCUUCAGAAACUUUCGGAAGCCUCCCAAUAUUUUCAAGCAUUAAAGACAGUUCUGACGAAACCAACCUUAUUUAUUUUGAUAACACACGUGAGCGCACACCAUGAACCCGUUCCAGAACCAACUUCAGCUUGGACAGCACAUUCCUUCAAUGAUCCCGACGUCACCU